AACGCGAAGAACCUUACGGGGCCUUGUACACACCGAGCCUUGUACACCGGGGCCUUGUACACGCCGACGACCGGUGUAGAGAUACGCCUUUUCUUCGGAACGUCGGUGACAGGUGGUGCAUGGUUGUCGUCAGCUCGUGUCGUGAGAUGUUGGGUUAAGUCCCGCAACGAGCGCAACCCCUAUUGUCAGUUGCCAUCAUUAAGUUGGGCACUCUGGCGAGACUGCGGGUGACAAAUCGGAGGAAGGUGGGGACGACGUCAAAUCAUCAUGCCCCUUAUGUCCAGGGCUACACACGUACUACAAUGGCCGAUAACAAAGUGCAGCGAAGCCGUGAGGCAGAGCGAAUCACAAAACUCGGUCCCAGUUCAGAUUGCAGGCUGCAACUCGCCUGCAUGAAGGUGGAAUUGCUAGUAAUCGCGAAUCAGAAAUCCGUGCGCUCUACAACUGUGUUCAACAGAUGGGUCUUGUACACACCG
rnacentral:rRNA from 1 species